AUUGAACGCUGGCGGCAGGCCUAACACAUGCAAGUCGAGCGCGCGGCGGACGGGUGAGUAAAAUAUGGGGACUACCCGAUAUAGGGGGAGACAAACAGGAAACGCUGGCUAAAACCGCAUACUGUCGGAUUACACAUAUGGGAUGAGCGAGUAGGUAAGGUAAUGGCUUACCUAGGCGACGAUCCCUAGCUGGUCUGAGAGGAUGAUCAGCAACACGGGUAAUGAGACACGGCCCAGACUCCUACGGAGGGAGCAGUGGGGAAUAUUGCACAAUGGGCGCAAGCCUGAUGCAGCCAUGCCGCGUGUAUGAAGAAGGCCUUAGGGUUGUAAAGUACUUUCAGUGGGGAGGCGUUACCGACAGAAGAAGCACCGGCUAACUCCGUGCCAGCAGCCGCGGUAAUAC
rnacentral:rRNA from 1 species